AGGUGUUAUGAAUAUUUCUUAAAUGUUUGAAAGGUCUAGUCCAAUCUUCUCAGUUUACAGAAAAAGAAACUGAAGUACAGAGGUGGAAGAGAUGGAUUUUCCAAAGAAAACUACAUUCCUGAUAAGCAAAAGGAACUAUAAAUUUGAUGACUCGAAGGACAUAUUUUGACAGAAGGAUUUUUUUCCUGAGAGUGAGGAGGGAAUAGAGCAAGAAGAAAAUGAAGUGCCUUUCUCAUCUCCACAGAAAAUGUCAAUGGUAAAAACUGGAGUUGAAGAAUAAAUACUAUUAGACAGAUGUAAGCAAGAGAAAACAAGUAGAAGAUUUCUGGAUAAAGAAAAGCAGAGUAUGGGAAAGGUCAUGGGAGUACUGCACAAUGGGGACACCACACUGAAUGUGUAGCAAAGCUGGGAAUUAUAGUGAUUUUUACGUUAUGAUUCUUUUAUUAUCCUAGGGAACUCUAACCACGGCUUUGCAAAAAAUUAGUGAAGUAUAUCCAAGUUAGGAGAGGGUAGCAGAUAGCAACUUGGGCCACACUCUGUAACAGUCCAUCUUAUUCCUCCUGUGGCUAAAAAUAUAUGAUAAUGAGGAUGUUGGUAAAGAAGAAUUGAGAGACUAAGAAAGUCACUAGGUUGAUGAAGAGAGGAGAUAGAAUUUCAAAAAAGAAAUGCCAAAGGAAAGCUUUACUAAGAGCCUUAAAAUAUUUAAUUAAAGAACUCUUGAGUCAUAAGUUCCAUUGGUUGA